rnacentral:misc_RNA from 1 species
UACAGCCAUUUUCUCCAUGGGUUGAUUGUGUGAGUGGCUGUGACCACCCUUUCCGCAAAGAAACAAGAUGAUAUAACUACCACCAAGGACUAUAAGCAAAAGGGAAGCCAGUUUGUGUACUGAUUCCUCACCAGCAAUUGUGUUUGUAAUGGUUAUUGCUGUUAUGCCUAGAAUAGAAGUGGAUAUUACAUGUAAUACUGCUCCAAAUGCAGUGACAAGAAGAGUACGAGAGAGAGUCCAUUUCUGAGCACGGCCAACAAUGGAGAAAGGCAACCAAUGUGUAGGUAUGAAAGAAUGUAAGAGUGAUACAGUAGCAAUUCCUCCAAUCGUCGAAAGAUCUUCUGCUGUAAACCCACUUUCCAUUUCGCAAAUUUAACAACACCCAACUCAAAAUCUUGGAUUAUUUUGAAGAUCCCACACUUCACCAGUGAGGUUUUG